CUACAGAGUGUUUCUAAGACAAUACUAGACCAUACUUGGAGUAUUAGAAAAUGUCCUGAGUGAUAGUUCGAAAGGGCCCACGCAGAGCCUGCAGAUAAAGCCAACACACAUGGAGAAAAGGGGAUCUGAGAGAACCCCAGGAAAACAGAGCUGGAACCACUAGAUCAAAUCAACCUGAAGUUUUAGUCGACGUGGACUUCUGCUCUGGUCUUCCCUGGCGGCACAGUGGUUAAGAAUGUGCCUGCCAAUGCAGGGGACACGGGUUCGAGCCCUGGUCUGGGAAGAUUCCACAUGCUGCGGAUCAGCUAAGCCCGUGCGCCACAACUACCGAGCCUGCUCUCUAGAGCCUACAAGCCACAACUACUGAGCCCGCGUGCCACAACUACUGAAGCCCGCGUGCCUAGAGCCCAUGCUCCGCAACAAGAGAGGCCACCGCAAUGAGAAGCCCGUGCACCGCAACGAAGAGUAGCCCCCGCUCGCUGCAACUAGAGAAAACCCGUGCACAGCGACAAAGACCCAAUGCAACCAAAAUAAUAAAUAAAUUAGUUAAUUAAAAA